CCAGACUCCUACGGGAGGCAGCAGUGAGGAAUCUUCCACAAUGGGCGAAAGCCUGAUGGAGCGACACCGCGUGAAGGAAGAAGGCCUAACGGUUGUAAACUUCUUUUCUGAAGGAGCAUAAUGAGAGUACUUUAGGAAUAAGGGACGGCUAAAUACGUGCCAGCAGCCGCGGUAAUACGUAUGUCUCGAGCGUUACCCGGAAUAACUGGGUGUAAAGGGUUUGUAGGUUGAUGAUUAAGUCAGAUAUGAAAGACCGGAGCUUAACUUCGAGUUUGUAUUUGAAACUGGUAAUCUAGAAUCAGGGAGAGGUAAGCGGAAUUCUAAGUGUAGGGGUGCAAUCCGUAGAUACUUAGAGGAACACCAAAAGCGAAGGCAGCUUACUGGAACUGAAUUGACACUGAAAAACGAAAGCGUGGGGAGCGAAAAGGAUUAGAUACCCUUGUAGUCCACGCCCUAAACGAUGACAACUAAGUGUUGCGACUAGCUCGCAGUGCUGUAGCAAACGCGUUAAGUUGUCCACCUGAGGAGUACGGUCGCAAGAUUAAAACUCAAAGGAAUAGACGGGGACCCACACAAGCAGUGGAUCACGUGGUUUAAUUCGACAAUAAACGGGGAACCUUACCCAGACUUGACAUCCUAGGAAUACUUUAGAGAUAGAGUAGUGCUCGCAAGAGAACCUAGAGACAGGUGCUGCAUGGUUGUCGUCAGCUCGUGCCUUGAGGUGUUCGGUUAAGUCCGUUAACGAGCGCAACCCAUGUCCUUAGUUAAACUGUCUAAGGAGACUGCCUUGGUUAACAAGGAGGAAGGUGUGGAUGACGUCAAAUCAGCAUGGCUUUUACGUCUGGGGCUACACACAUGAUACAAUGGUGUAAACAAAGAGUAGUGAAUCCGCGAGGAGGAACCAAUCUUGAAAAUACAUCUCAGUCCGGAUUGGAGUCUGCAACUCGACUCCAUGAAGUUGGAAUUGCUAGUAAUCGUAAAUCAGAUAUGUUACGGUGAAUAUGUUCCUGGGUCUUGUACUCACCGCCCGUCAAGGCAUGGGAGGUAGUAAUAUCGGAAGUCCCCCUAGUAAUAAGGGGGCCCAUGGUAGAACUACUGACUGGGCUUAAGUCGUAACAAGGUAUCCGUAGGUGAACCUGCGGAUG
rnacentral:rRNA from 1 species